UACGUAGGGUGCAAGCGUUGUCCGGAAUUAUUGGGCGUAAAGAGCUCGUAGGCGGUCUGUCGCGUCGGCUGUGAAAACUCGGGGCUCAACUCCGAGCUUGCAGUCGAUACGGGCAGGCUAGAGUUCGGCAGGGGAGACUGGAAUUCCCGGUGUAGUGGUGAAAUGCGUAGAUAUCGGGAGGAACACCAGUGGCGCAAGCGGCUGACUGACCGAAACCUGACGCUGAGACGCGACGGCGUGGGGAGCAAACCGG
rnacentral:rRNA from 1 species